GCCGGGCGUGGUGGUACACACCUGUAAUCCCAGCUACUCAGGAGGCUGAGGCAGGAGAAUCACUUGAGCCCAGGAGGCCGAGGUUGCACUGAGCCGAGAUCAUGCCACUGCACUCCAGCCUGGGCAACAGAGUGAGACUCCGCCUCAA
rnacentral:SRP_RNA from 1 species